rnacentral:sRNA from 1 species
AUAACAAGAACAACAAAUGCCUCACCCAAUAAAAACAACAGACAACGGUUCUGACAUAACAAGAACAACACGGCAGAAGCGUAGCAAGCAGAUCUUUUUGAAGUAGAAGGGUUUUCCCGGGGUCACAGCCCCGCAGCCUGGCACAGAACAAUAAAACUACCCUCAGGUAGCGGCAGCCACGGUUGGAUCAGCAAUGAUGAAUCCCCGACAGCGCUCAAAAAAAUACGUUUGCUCUUGUGCCCCGGAUGGGGGCCACCGCAACACCCGGACACGCCAACAAAAACAACAAUCGGUGUGUCACGAACAAUAAAAAGAGCAGGCAAUCGACUUUGAGGGGAGCUUAGGCUCCCCUCAGUGCUUGGUGCCUUCUUCCUUUUUCUUUUCCU